ACGAGGUUGGGCCGAGUGGUUUAGAGCGCUGGUUUUGUAAUCCGGAGUUCCCGGGUUCAAACCCUGCAUCUUGUC